AAGCGGAGGAACAUGUGGUUUAAUUCGAUGAUACGCGAGGACCUUACCUGGGCUUAAAUGGGGAGUGACAGCUGUCGAAAGAUGGUUUUCUUCGGACACUCUUCAAGGUGCUGCAUGGUUGUCGUCAGCUCGUGCCGUGAGGUGUCGGGUUAAGUCCCAUAACGAGCGCAACCCUUACCGUUAGUUACCAUCAGGUUAAGCUGGGGACUCUAGCGGGACUGCCACCGUAAGGUGAGAGGAAGGUGGGGAUGACGUCAAAUCAGCACGGCCCUUAUGUCCAGGGCUACACACGUGUUACAAUGGCCGGUACAAAGGGCAGCUACUUCGCGAGAAGAUGCUAAUCUCGAAAGCCGGUCUCAGUUCGGAUCGAAGUCUGCAACCCGACUUCGUGAAGCUGGAUUCGCUAGUAAUCGCGCAUCAGCCAUGGCGCGGUGAAUACGUUCCCGGGCCUU
rnacentral:rRNA from 1 species